rnacentral:tRNA from 1 species
UGUCCAAUGCGGGAAUCGAACCCGGGUCCUAGUGGUCGAAAACCAAACGGUUUAACCAGCCUUCCACCGAGUUAAAU